rnacentral:rRNA from 1 species
CCUGGCGGCCUUAGCGCGGUGGUCCCACCUGACCCCAUGCCGAACUCAGAAGUGAAACGCCGUAGCGCCGAUGGUAGUGUGGGGUCUCCCCAUGCGAGAGUAGGGAA